UACAGAGGUCCCAAGCGUUUGUCCGGAAUUAUUGGGCGUAAAGGGCUCGUAGGCGGUUUGUCGCGUCGGGAGUGAAAACCUACAGCUUAACUGUGGGCUUGCUUUCGAUACGGGCAGACUUGAGGCAUGCAGGGGAGAACGGAAUUCCUGGUGUAGCGGUGAAAUGACGCAGAUAUCAGGCAGAACACCUGGGGCGAAGGCGGCCAGCUGGGCCGUCCCUGACGCUGAGGCGCGAAGGCGUGGGGAGCGAACGGGG
rnacentral:rRNA from 1 species